rnacentral:rRNA from 1 species
UGGGGAAUAUUGGGCAAUGGGCGAAAGCCUGACCCAGCGACGCCGCGUGGGUGAUGAAGGCCUUCGGGUUGUAAAGCCCUUUCGUGCGGAAAGAACAGCUCUGUAGCUAAUAUCUGCAGGGUUUGACGGUACCGCAGGAAGAAGCACCGGCUAACUCCGUGCCAGCAGCCGCGGUAAUACGGAGGGUGCAAGCGUUGUUCGGAAUUAUUGGGCGUAAAGGACGCGUAGGCGGUUGUGAUAGUCAGAUGUGAAAUCCUCUGGCUCAACUGGAGAACUGCAUCUGAAACUUCACAACUAGAGUACAGGAGAGGGAAACGGAAUUCCCGGUGUAGAGGUGAAAUUCGUAGAUAUCGGGAGGAACACCAGUGGCGAAGGCGGUUUCCUGGCCUGAUACUGACGC